AGCGAACAGACGAGGAGCUUGCUCCUCUGACGUUAGCGGCGGACGGGUGAGUAACACGUGGAUAACCUACCUAUAAGACUGGGAUAACUUCGGGAAACCGGAGCUAAUACCGGAUAAUAUAUUGAACCGCAUGGUUCAAUAGUGAAAGACGGUUUUGCUGUCACUUAUAGAUGGAUCCGCGCCGCAUUAGCUAGUUGGUAAGGUAACGGCUUACCAAGGCAACGAUGCGUAGCCGACCUGAGAGGGUGAUCGGCCACACUGGAACUGAGACACGGUCCAGACUCCUACGGGAGGCAGCAGUAGGGAAUCUUCCGCAAUGGGCGAAAGCCUGACGGAGCAACGCCGCGUGAGUGAUGAAGGUCUUCGGAUCGUAAAACUCUGUUAUUAGGGAAGAACAAAUGUGUAAGUAACUAUGCACGUCUUGACGGUACCUAAUCAGAAAGCCACGGCUAACUACGUGCCAGCAGCCGCGGUAAUACGUAGGUGGCAAGCGUUAUCCGGAAUUAUUGGGCGUAAAGCGCGCGUAGGCGGUUUUUUAAGUCUGAUGUGAAAGCCCACGGCUCAACCGUGGAGGGUCAUUGGAAACUGGAAAACUUGAGUGCAGAAGAGGAAAGUGGAAUUCCAUGUGUAGCGGUGAAAUGCGCAGAGAUAUGGAGGAACACCAGUGGCGAAGGCGACUUUCU
rnacentral:rRNA from 1 species